UUUUGCCAAAACCGUCUCACCUCCUAUUCUCUUUUACCCUCCUCUCUGGCUUUUUGCCAAAUCGAUUAACUGAGUAGAAGCCACUCUCUAAUGUUAAUCAAGUAGAAGCAAGUGUCCAAAAGCAAUUUGGCCGACGUUGAUCGACUAACAAUCCAAAAUUUGUAUUCCAAAAUCACUCUCCAAAAACUAUUUGUUUAAUUUUAGGGUUUACCCAAAAAAAUAUUUGUUAAUCGUUGGUUUUGGGCUUUGCCCCAUAAGCUAAGCCCCAAUAAUUGGGACAGGAAUAUUCUGCCGCCGCUCGUGCCGGCUCAUCUGGCCCCCACCGGUACUUCCAAUCCGGUAAAUGAAAAUCCAAAGGAGGACAAUGAUAAUAGAGGACUGCCUUCUCCAUUUUUGGGACUGCUGCCCCUUGAGAACCCAGAUAGUUAUUGUGUAAUUAAACAGAGGAUGGCUCAGGCAUUGUGCUACUUCAAAGAAUCAACUGAACAACAUGUUCUAGCUCAGGUUUGGGCACCCGUAAAAAGUGGGGGUCGUUAACAACUUCGAGGCAACCCUUUGUCCUUGAUCCGCAUUGCAAUGGACUACAUCAGUAUAGGAUGGUUUCUUUGAUGUACAUGUUUUCUGUGGAUGGAGAGAGUGGUGAACAGCUAGGACUUCCUGGCCGUGUUUUCUGGAAGAAAUUACCAGAAUGGAGUUCAAAUGUACAGUACUAUUCCAGCAGAGAGUAUUCACGGCUUGAUCAUGCUCUGCAUUACAAUGUCCAGGGAGCCUUGGCGUUGCCAGUCUUUGAACCUUUUAGACAGUCCUGUGUUGGUGUACUUGAACUCAUAAUGACUUCACAGAAGAUUAACUAUGCACCUGAGGUUGAUAAAGUAUGCAAAGCACUUGAGUUCUUAUGCAGGCAUUGAAUCUGAAAAGUUUAGAAAUAUUGGAUCAUCCAAGCACUGAGGUGAGCUUCAAAAGUAUUUUUUUUUUUGAAGAGAACUUUAGCUGGUUGAUUGAAGUAAUAAUCAAGCAAAGAGAAGAAAUAUAUAUCAGAUUCUGUCAGACAAAGCAGUCUUUUUUAUGGUUUUUAGCAUUGGCCUUCAAAAAAAGGUGGCUGCAGUGAUGUUGUUAGCCUUUGUAAGAGCAUAUAGGAGUCUAUGCCUCGAAGGAAUUCAGAUAUACACUGCAAAUGCUUUGAUAGAUUGAUGAAAGUGGGAAUGAGUAUCAGGCUGGUGUCCAAGAAAUGAAGUAGCGGUGACACAUGCAAAAGGGAACAAAACAAGCUGUAAGAGGCCAUUCAACUUGAAUAGUAGCCCAGUAUCCAUGUGAUGAUAGGGCAAAAAGCCUGAAACUGUGGGUUUAUUCUGCACGUUUUCAUUCAUCUAGAAAUUUUAUUUUUUUUCCUGUAUCUACCAGGCUGAAGAUUUGUUGAAGAAAAAUAGGCAUACACUUUUGGAAACUGGAAAGGCCUCAGAGGAUGCUUGGAUGGAAAAGUCAUCAGGCCAAUGGUAAAUGAACUUGAGUUCAUUGGGUAAGAACUGGAUGAAGUAAUUGGAUAACCAAUGGACAGAAGCCAAUAAUUCCUGGUUUUGUUAUAUUGUUUCACUCAAGUUGAAAAUUUAAGUCUAUAGUAAGAGCUUGGAGCUUGUAAUUUUGUUCAAGGAAGAUGAUUUGCAUAUAGGAUUAACCUAUAUAUACACGGUGUCAAGUUCGUUGAUUUUGCUGGCAAAUGGGAUAAUUGAAGCAAAGUCUUAAGCAUUAAUUUCAAGCAAAAUUUGCGGCUUUGCUUUGGAAUAACUCUUCCAUAUAAUAUUCCAUGGAAAAGCAAAUAUGAAGAUGAUAAAGACAGGCACUUUAUUGUUUGUUUAAGACCAUAAAUCCAAACUAACUAGAUUUUUGUCUCAUUGUUCUUAAAAUGACAGGGACAAGAAGGUGAGAAGAUGGCUCAUUUCUGUCUGCUGAUAUAGUGGAAAAAAAAGGGGGCAUUUAUAGAGUUCUUUGACUAGUUUACUAUUGAUGAUUUUGUUGAAAAUAGUAUGUUUAUAUGUAUAUACAAACAUUCAGAAAAGGCUGUCCUAUUUAAAGGGACAAACAUUCUACAAUUACUUAGUUGUGCAACUUGAGCUACGAACAUUUCCUUUUACACACCCUUAGAUAAUUUUUGUUUUGACUCAUGUCUACAUUGAAACUAUUGCUUAAGGAUGAUUCUAUUUUUAUUCGUUAUUAUUAAACGAUUGAAGCAGUAGCGUGCAUGGUCAUUAUCUUUCCUUUUCAUUUGUAGGAGAAGUUUUUUAAGAUAUUGAUCUCUUUCUUCCAGACAAAGUGGGUCUUAAGGUAUUAUGCAGAUUUGAUGAGUCUUAUUUAGGAUUAUUUUGUUACCUAACUGACAUGGUUUGUUUAAGUAGAAUUGAGCAGUUGAACUGAAUACAAAUUUGUUUCAAUAUUGGAAUCUGUUACAAAUCUGUUUUUUUAUUUGGUUUGGUUAUGAAGUAAUCUAAACAGUCCCUAAUUCUACUUUUGAUGUGCAGCAGCGAAUAAAAAAGAAAGUCUAUCUUUGGCUUGGACCACUUGAAGAUUGUCAAAAACAAAAACAAGUAAGAAUUUUAAUAUAGUUUUGAGUUGCAUUAUUUCUUGUCAGCUGCUAACAAAAUCCCUAUGUGAUGCACUAGCCUUAGGUUUUGUUAGAGCAUACAUAUAUAUAUACUGAAUGAACCUUGAUCCCUUUUACGUGCAUGUUUAGGGAAUAGGAAUAUUUCAAUAUGUAAUGUUUAGGGCACAUUAUAUAUGUAGUUAUACUAAUUGGAUUAUAGUUGCUUGGUUUAGAUUGAAUUAUUAUGAAUGUUUCACGUGCUUUGUGUCUAGAAUGAUGAUUUAUAAUUAGGAAAGUGAAAGAUUCAUAGUAAAAUUGAGAUAAUUUCUUUUUAUGUUUAACGAAAAACAUAGUACUAACUUCAACUUAUUGUAAAGCUUGUUCUAGAAUGACGAUGCUGGGUUAAUUGUUAUGUUUAUUAGAUUCUAAUAUUUUUGUAAGUUGAUUGGAAUGUGAGUUAUUGUAUACUUUAUUCUGAUGGAUCCUAUGGUCUUGUUUUGUUUUGAUCGUAUUGUUUCUAUUGUCAUUUAAUAUUUGUUAUUAAUUAUUUAUUGCAGUUUCAAGUGAUACAAACUCACAAUCAACACAAUCACCCUCGAUACAAGAAUUGUAUCGAGAGAUUAAAGAUGUGCUUUUGAUCACGAACUAUUUCAUAGUUUUAAUACUCUUCGUUUUUUAGACAAUAUUAUUUCUAUAUAAUUUUAGAAUUGAUUUUAAAGAAUGUACUAUAUUUAAAAUCAAUGCAAAUAUGUGGAUGAUAAUUUAUCAUUUCUUCUUAUUUAUACAAGAUUUUCUAAAAACAAUAUUAAUUAUAUUAGAUUAUUCUAGAAAAAUGACAGUUAGGAUUUGUGACGUUCAAUAUUUUGUCACCAUUAUAAAAGAAAUUUUUUUCAACAUUAAAAUGAUUAAUUUGUCAUUUAAAAAUAUUUUCCAUGACGAUUAUAGCAUCGUCAUAUUCAACUAAUGAUAUUUAUUUUA